UACGUAGGUGGCAAGCGUUGUCCGGAUUUAUUGGGUUUAAAGGGUGCGUAGGCGGUUCUAUAAGUCAGUGGUGAAAUCCGGCAGCUCAACUGUCGAUGUGCCAUUGAUACUGCAGAACUUGAGUACAGACGAGGUAGGCGGAAUUGACGGUGUAGCGGUGAAAUGCUUAGAUAUCGUCAAGAACACCGAUAGCGAAGGCAGCUUACUAGACUGUAACUGACGCUGAUGACACGAAAGUGUGGG
rnacentral:rRNA from 1 species